UAACGAAUCUUCCGCAAUGCACGAAAGUGUGACGGAGCGACGCCGCGUGUAGGACGAAGCCCUUCGGGGUGUAAACUACUGUCAGGGGAAAGAAAGUACUGAUCUACCCCAGAGGAAGGCACGGCUAACUCUGUGCCAGCAGCCGCGGUAAGACAGAGGUGCCGAGCGUUAGGCGGAAUCACUGGGCUUAAAGCGUGUGUAGGCGGAUGCCUAAGUACCUUGUGAAAUCCCACGGCUUAACCGUGGAAC
rnacentral:rRNA from 1 species